rnacentral:rRNA from 1 species
UACGGAGGGUGCAAGCGUUGCUCGGAAUCAUUGGGCGUAAAGCGUACGCAGGCUGUUCGUUAAGUCGGGUGUGAAAGCCCGGGGCUCAACCCCGGAACUGCGCCCGAAACUGGCGAGCUUGAGUGCGGGAGAGGGAAGCGGAAUUCCUGGUGUAGAGGUGAAAUUCGUAGAUAUCAGGAGGAACACCGGUGGCGAAAGCGGCUUCCUGGACGAUAACUGACGCUGAGACGCGAAAGCGUGGGGAGCAAACAGG